CUCAACUCACUACAUUUAUUCUACGGAAAACAGUAUAUUUAUUUGGUGGAAGCUAAAAAUAGAACUUGAUAUUUUUACCUGUCAUAUAUAUCCUAGUAGCCUCGUUUUAAAUACUGGUAAAUACAAGAUACAUAUUAUGAUAUAAGAGCGAAGGUAUAUAGAUAUUGGACUGGUAUAUUGUGAGGGAGUAUAUUACUAUUGGCCCGUUAUAAACUGUGGUAUAUGUGAUAUAGUGUGGUAUAUAGCGAUAGACUCACUAUGAAGUGUGGUAUAUAAGAUGUGUAUAUUAAGGAUAUAUAUUCUUUACCUAUGUACAUGAAGGAUUUAAAUGACAUUAUGAAGUAAAUACAGACAUGUACAUCACGAAUAAAAGUAUUGCCAUCAAACCUAGUCUUGAUCUACCAGUGAAGAUGAGACCAGUGUCUAUACCGAUAUUCAUAGAGCGACAGUGGGAGCCGGUUAAAGUGAACAUACCUCCACCUCAACCUCUAGAUGGCGCUACAUAUACUUCCUGGAGAGACCGGAAGAAGAAAAUAGACGAUGCUUUAUCCUGGCUACGGACUGAAUUAUCGAAUCUUAAGAUACAAGAUCAACAAAUAUUAGGUCAGUUAAGACGAUGCCAGGAUACGAUAGAAAACCUGAAACUACAGAAAAACACGUGGCAUGAUGGCGACAUGUCAGAAGAUGACCUUGAGGAAGAUGAAGGUCACUGGGAGGACUGGGAAAUAUCAGAGUUCGACAGAGCAUUCGACAAGAGUAUCAACGAGUGUAAAGACUUAGAAAAACAGUGUUUAGAUUUAGAGACAGAUUUUGAAACUCGUCGAAAAACUCCUUCCGUUUCCUCCUCAUUAUCCUCACCAAAUUCCGACAAACAUUCGAAAUAUUUCCACAAAUAUUCCGAGUCGGAGUCAAGUUCCGGUUCUUCGUCAUAUAUCAGACAGGAUAUUGAGGACGCCGACAGACUCCGCCCAUUUCCGGACAGUGGUAGACUCCGCCCAUUUCAGGAAAGUGAUAGACUCCGCCCAUUUCAGGAAAGCGAUAGACUCCGCCCAUUUCAGGAAAGUGAUAGACUCCGCCCAUUUCAAAGGUUUCAUCGUGAAAACUUUCUGCCGAACAUCUUUACGUCAAGCCUUAUGACAACCCUACGGGACUUCACCUAACUACAGAAGUUUGAACUGUGUGAUUUAGUCUUGGUAUUAUAGGGUGUGUCAUAUUCUUAAUGAAUUAAGAAACAUGUAUAUUAGCGCGUGGCUUGCUAAAUAAUAUUGCAUUUCCUUGUGCCGAGCUUGCUUAUGCUUAUUCAUAACAAUAGUGGAUGUUUUUCUUAUCUUUUGAUAAUUCGAAUUUUUGGGGAUAGAUGCCAACUUCGAAAUUAUAUAAACCAGAUCUUCGAGACUAAAAAGUUCGCGAUAGUGAUGAUUCCCGAUCGUCGAGAUUAGGGAGUUAACAAUAGUGAUAUUUCCAGAUCUUCGAGACAAUAGUGAUAUUUCCAGAUCUUCGAGACUAAGGAGUUCGCAAUACUAUUGCCAGAUCUUUGAGACUAGGAGUUCGGAAUAGUGAUAUAUCCAGAUCUUCGAGACUAGGAGUUCGGGAUAGUGAUAUAUCCAGAUCUUUGAGACUAGAAGUUCGGGAUAGUGACACAUCCAGACCUUCGAGACUAAGGGGUUCGGGAUAGUGAUAUUUAAUUGUAAAUUCGCGUCACGCUUUAGACAACGUGUAAAUUGAGUAUGUUUCGUGUGUUAGUAAUUGAUAUAGCGUGUGUGUGUAGUCGAUAUUAAUACGUCAACAUAUUGUGAUCGUGGAGAUGAUUUUAUCACUGAAACUCAAAUGUGCACAUGUAAAAUGAAAUAAAUGAAAUGAAAUUCGGUUUAACGUCCAACUGUUCUGCUCCGACUAGGCUAAUGAAGACAGGCAUACGCCAUACAGUGUGCUAUAAGGGAAAUUGUGCCCAAACAGCGGCGCUACGCCCUACUCUUAUAUCGAAUUUCAAGGUUUCCAUGACUAAACAUGCUCAAACCGCAGAGAAAUGUAAUGACAGUCUACGACAAAGUGCAAUGAUUUAAUUAACUCGGCAAAAAUCGUCCUUUCAGAGGUAAAAUCACUCCAUCAUCAUGUUGACAUAUUGCCUUAUUAAAAUAUUUUGUUAUUGACUUUUAUACGCUUCCAUACAUAUGUGUAGUUAUAUGCGCUGUACCAUAAAGUCUGUCAUUGAGUCAACUGGUGUGGUUUCGAUUCCCCGGUUGUACGUGACAAGGAGUAGGGUCGUCUGUCCAACCUCGUGGGUUUUCUCUGGGUCCUCCGGUUUCCUCCCUCCGACUGCUAAAAACCCCUACACGCAAGCGGAUUAUUGAAAUAAAAUUAAACCAUAAUAUGUUAUUCCCGAAAUGACCUAUGUUUGUGUCGAGUGGACGUUAAACCCCAUCUCUCUCUCUAUCUCUCUCUCUCUCUCUCUCUCUCUCUGUUUGUAAUUAUUUAUGGAGUGUUCCUGUUUAUUAUUAUAUUGUUGAUUAAAGGAUGACUGUCACGUGUUUGUGGAAUGAAAAUGGUUUUUUGUUGACAAUAAAACGAGUAAUUGCCAUUAAAGGGCAAUAUUGGUGCCAGUCAUUAUCACAUAUGUGAUAGAACUGGUUAAACACGUUCCAAAUAUAAUUUUAACACAGAGAUCAUUGCUACGAUAGAUACAUAAUGAAGGUUUCAACAAUCGGAAGUGACGAACGCAAAAGGAAAACACGAGAUAUCCCUCUGUAUAAAUGACUGAAGUGACGAGCGAUAACAGAUACAUGGGCGAAUUUCUGCUCACUAAUAAUUCUUUCGAAGACCAAAAGUUGUUGCGUGAGACUGAUUAUAUUUGGAACGUGUUUAACCAGUUCUAUCACAUAUGUGAUAACAACUGACACCAAUAUUGUCCUUUAAUAAAUUAAUGUAAUGCUUGUUGUGAAUAUUGCUAUUGGAUUAAUCCCUAAAAUAUCAAAUGUCCACAUCAACUUAAGACAGAAGCAUAGAUAUACACAAGUUUAUUACAAAGGCAAUGGCGACGCCCAGACGAAAAUUCAAAUUAUGAGUCCUGUAAGUGAAAAUUAAGUGUGAUUUAGGCCCAUAGCUCGGGGGGGGGGGGCAGCUACCUUUGCCGAUUGGUCAAAAACAUUAUUAUAGGUACGCUAGAGUCGUUUUCCUUCCUUCAAAUUUUUAUAAUGUUCAUAUCAAAAUAUCAUAAUACGCCUAUAUCGCAAAUACAUCCUCCAAAUUGAAAUUUUCCAUCAUUUCCAUAGUUCCUCUCCUCAGGUGAAAACCCUAUUUUCUCAAAUUUAAUGGCGGGGGGAGGGGGGAGCACCCGUUCGCCGUGGACCGUCAAAUGUAGGUACACCGGCGCCCCCAGAAGACCUUGCCACCCACCCCCAGAACAUUUUGAGGAUAGCUGCGGGCCUGAGUGUGAUUCAAUAAAGUAUUUAUAGAUAGCCAUAAUGGCAAGUACAGGCUAGUGGGUAAGGGGGUGCACAUUGGGUAAUAAGGCCAUGACUGAGUGGCAGGGUCGACUGCCUAGCCAUGUGGAUUUUCUCCGCCCCCCCCCUCCUACUCCCUCUGAUUCUUUCACUGAUUUUUAGAAAUUGGAUUUUGCUUGAAAUGUAAUUGAUCACCAAGUAACCACGUCACUCUAUAAACAACUCACAACAUAUAAGUGUUUUGGACAUCGCUUCAGGAAUAAAAGAAAUGAAAUGGGGUAUCAACAAAAAUGGCAAUGCAAAAGGGAGAAAAAGGUGGGGGGGGGGGCACACUUAGCUCCGCAUGAGAACUGACACUAAACUAAGCUAGUUAAAUCCUAAAUCGACGAUUUUAGUCAAAGCCACUAAGUAUACUUCGAGAAUUUUAUUAAGUAUUUAAUCUGCUUCCAUUUAAUAAAAUUGUGAAAGUUAAUUUAGUCUUUGCGUGUAUGACAGAUGUGAAACGGAAGUGACGAACGCAAAAGGAAAACACGAGAUAUCCCUCUGUAUAACUGACUGAAGUGACGAGCGAUAACAGAUACAUGGGCGAAUUUCUGCUCACUAAUAAUUCUUUCGAAGACCAAAAGUAGAACUGCAUUACAAAACAGUAUAUUCAUUUAUGAAUAUGGCGGCCUUUUACGGCAGAGAUCUAUUCUCGAAGUAUGAAGUAGAUGGUUCUCUGCGUGCAGAAUGGGGAGUGAACUGUUAUAAUAAUAUGCAGACGAAUUACAAAUCGUGUGUACAGAUAUAACGGAAAUUAAUUGUGGUCUGCAUCCUAUUUCUAAGUAUAAACGAGUUGCCUCCCUCUAAGUGCGUUCUUUCAAUACGGAAGCGUUGGUUAUUUUGUAUUUAAAGGUUUUCAAAUGAUGUGGUAAUUAUUUUUUUUUUUACAUGAG